ensembl:lncRNA
GGACAAAUCAAUCUUACAAGAUGGAUGGGGCCACUGGGUGACGCUUGGGUGAAAACCGCUUCCAGAUUUCACACCAGCUUCGCUUUUGUGCUCCGGCUGAAAACACAGCUUUAUUGCAUGAGCAUAAGUAAUACAGGAAGGCACUUACCACUCCAUUUUGUGCAGCUUUUGUUUGUGAUAGUCUUAAUUUACUGCUGAAGUGAAUCCGAGACUGAUAAUUUUUAUGAUUUUUUACCGAGAAAAGACAUUAAGCUACUUACUUUGGCUGCACUUCCUACUCUGCAGAAAUUAUUUAUCCAAGCACAGCGGCAAAGUGGGUCAGGGGAGGAAUAAUAAUAAUAAUAAUAAAAGAAACCGCCCACAAAAAUCUUGAAUCCCUUGCAGAAGUUGGAUUAAGGCUCAAGAUACUGGAUGCAAACCGCUGCCACGUUCUCCAUUUCAAAGGAAAGGUGUCAGCUCAGGCAGCGAUGUCAAAGGCUGCAAAGUUUGGGCUGCAAAAUCCCACUCCUACCGUUUGCCAUGCUGGCCACAAAGGAACAGAGAGCUGGAUUUGGCUCUGCAAGCUACUCUGCCUUUUCCUCAAGGGAUAUAUACCCCAAGAACUGAGUUGCUUCAUUGAUUCUGUGCAUGGGCAAGCAGCAGUGCCCAUGGGGAGGAGGGGAGAACAGGGAAGAGAAAGCUUUUUUCCCUGUAUUUUCUACCACCAACUGCUCAGUUUGGGUGAAAUAGGAGAGUCACAUCUUUUCCCAACUCUCUGAAGUGAGGGGAACUUUGCUGAGGCCCCAGCUUGAACCGGACCGUGCCCAGAUAUCAUCAGAUCCUGCACAAGAAAAAUAAAGAGCUCAAGUUGCAAAAGAAGAGUGAUGGAGGAGUGAAACUCGAGAGGAGCAUACAGUCCGCUGACAGCUCCCUGCAGCUCAAACCGACCCGUCAGGGCCACAGCAAAGCCUUGGAGCAGCAGCAUUGUGCUCCAGGAAAAUCAGCAUGGUGCAGCCAGGAGGGGAUCAUGCUCAUGCAGAACGAUCUCUGCAGUGGCACCAGAGGAAGAGAUCACACCAUUUGCAAAAGCAAUCUGCGCAGGUGUCCAUUGUCUAGUCUGGGAUUUCACAGGGAAUCUGGUGCCAGGAGCCAUUUGGAUGAUGCCAGACUGCUGAACACAUCCAGAAGCCAGGAGUGAAACAUCUUUGUAAGAAAGAGGAAAUCAAGCCUGGAUUACAGAAACAGAUGCCAUUUAUUCCCAGUCUGGCAAAUGACCCUGGAGUAUAUGGUAAAAAGUGUGAAUAAAACGACACAGACCUCGUCACCAGAGAUUAGAUCUCAACUUGCUUGUGUGAGAUGACAGCCCAAGAGUAUUUGCCAAAAGUUGGGAAAAUGCCAAGUUUUCAUUAAACCUCUUGUAAACCCCAAAUUGCUGUCCUGCGAGGCUACAUCUGGCAAGGAAGCCAUCUGCGAUUCGUAUAGUCUUGCUCCAACAAAACGACAACAGUGUGAAAAACUCUUUUCUCUGGUCGGCAGUGAACUGUAAAAGUAACAUUAGUAAUAGCUUCUGCA